rnacentral:rRNA from 1 species
GACGUAGGGGGCGAGCGUUGUCCGGAUUUAUUGGGCGUAAAGAGCUCGUAGGCGGCUCGUUGCGUCGGCUGUGAAAACCCGCAGCUCAACUGUGGGCUUGCAGCCGAUACGGGCGGGCUGGAGUUCGGUAGGGGAGACUGGAAUUCCUGGUGUAGCGGUGAAAUGCGCAGAUAUCAGGAGGAACACCGGUGGCGAAGGCGGGUCUCUUGGCCGAUACUGACGCUGAGGAGCGAAAGCGUGGGGAGCGAACAGG